rnacentral:rRNA from 1 species
UACGUAGGGGGCAAGCGUUGUCCGGAUUUAUUGGGCGUAAAGAGCGUGUAGGCGGCCAGGUAGGUCCGUUGUGAAAACUCGAGGCUCAACCUCGAGACGCCGAUGGAAACCCCCUGGCUAGAGUCCGGAAGAGGAGAGUGGAAUUCCUGGUGUAGCGGUGAAAUGCGCAGAUAUCAGGAAGAACACCCGUGGCUAAGGCGGCUCUCUAGUACGGUACUGACGCUGAGACGCGAAAGCGUGGGGGAGCGAACAGG